UAUAUGUACAUGUAUUUGUGAUACAUGUGCAUCUGUGUGUGUAUACAGCAUAUACAUGUAAGUGCUUUUGCUCUGCUAUCCAUAGUAAACACAAUUUGGGCAGACAAGGACCAAGAAAUGUACAAAGCAUAGGGAACAAAGGAACUAAAAUCCAAACCCAGGCUUGACUUCUGCACCUGACCGUGAUCACUGUCCUUGCCUUUCACCUACAGCUGCUUGCAGUGCCCUGGAGUGGGGACUGAAAUUACCCAGAGGCAGCCACACCAAACCCAGGGAGGUGCACAUCCUUCAGGCCCACCAGCACCAUUCCUCCCCUAAGUCAGCCCUCACAGAAGUGCUGCACCAUCUGCCAUGCAGCUGCACUUCUCGGUGAUCAUGUUGGGAAAUUCAGUUGCCUCAAUCUCGGUGUGGUUGCCCCUCUGGACCAGGUACAUGAUAGGGAGUGGGGAGCUCUCAGCCACAGCACAGGCACGUUUCCUGCCUCCCCAGCGCUGCAGUGGGCCGGGAAGCUGCAGGCAGCCCCCCCGGCAGCUGUAAGCCUGGUAUCCUGCUGGCUCGAUGACCCAGUACUGUGUCCAGGAAAGCUCACGGAAGUUGAUGUAGUGCUUCUGCCGGCAGCAGGUGGACUUUCCUGCCUGCACUCCAUCCUUGCAGUCCCCAGGGCCCCUGUGUGCAAUAGGAGAAAUGUUAGCUAAUAGGUAAGGCUGAUGGCACAGCCCAGAGCUAGGAAGCUCAGACCACACUCAGGUUUCAUUUGAAAAUUCAGGCAACAAAGUGAGUGCAGUAAUGUAGGGACAAAGCUGCAUGGAUGCAGGUUUCAUACUCACCCAUAGUCCUCCAAGUCAAGGGUGUAGAGCACCAGCUCAGGUCUUCCCACAGCUCUGUCCCCAGCAUCCUGUGAGGUGAAGCGCACGGCCUUGGCAACCUCUGCAGCGUAGCUGCCCACCAUUUCCCCUUCAAUCCAGACCUGCAGGACCAUUGGCUCCUGCCUCUUGUUCCGCAGCCAGUAAUGCACAGCCUGGGUCACAUCAAAGUUCUUCCAGCCAGACUCUCUUAUGGGAACCAGCCUGCCAGGCAGAGAGAAGCCCAUCAUACAAAGUUCAUGCUGCUUUUUUUGCUGUGGAAUAAUUUGCUUCCUGUGCGUUGUCAUGUGCCUUGAUCAUACGUUAAUGCUUGCUGAGCAGCUCUGGGCAAGUACUCACAGCAAUUAACUAUUUAAAACAAUCGUAGAACCACAGGGAUUGGAAGGGACCUCUGGAGAUCAUCUGCUUCAAUUCCAUGCUAAAGCGGGUUUCCUGCAGCAGUCACACAGGAAAGCAUUCAGACGUGCUUUGGGCAUCUCCAGAGAAGGAGACUCCACAACCUCUCUGUACCCACAAGGCAUGCAAGGCUAACAAGCACUGAAUGGUGAAAUAAAAACCCUUGUGUCAAGGUAUUUGUUCACACAGUGCAAGGUUAUAUGCAGUGCUUGUGUCACCAGCCAGCUGAGCUUCCAGAACUUAAAGGGAGCUUAUAAACAAGAGUAAAAUCAACCUUUUUAUGGUCUGAUGGUGAUAGGACAAGGAGGAAUGGUUUUAAACUAAAGAGGGUGUGAUGAGUAGAAUAAACUACUAAAAACCUUAAACUAAAAGGAGUGAGAUGUGAGUAGAAUAGAUGUCAGGGGAAGGUUUUCACUGAGGGGGUGAUGAUUGCCUGGAGAAGCUGCGUAUACCUCAUCCCUGGAGGUGUUCACAGGCAGGUUGGAUGGGGCCCUGGGCAGCCUGAUUCUGUGCCUGAUUUAGGGUCUUGCUACCCUGCCUGCAACAGGAGAGCUGGAACUAGAUCAUCUUUGAGGUCCCUUCCAACCCAAGCCAUUCAGUGAUUCUGUGAUUCUAUGAAUCUAUGAUUGAUUCUAUGGUUCUAUUAAUAAAGAUGCAGCCUAUCAUCUGGCACAGAAAUGUGUCACUUCAAUGCAUCAUUGCAUAUUUGCACCCUUAACCUACUGUCUGCUCUCAUCAGCUCCACACUCCCCAUCACCUACCUUGAGUCGAUCAGGGAGGUCCUGUUUGUGCCAUCAUGCUGUCUCUGCACCCAGUAGAUGCUGACCCUGGCAUUGGAGACAGGCCGAUGGGGCUGCCUGGCUGGCAGGUUCACCCUGUCCAGGGGCUUCUUGAAAAGCUUCAGUUCAGCCAUUGUCACUUCACUGUUUUUUGGUAUCCUUCCCUCCAUGUCAAAGAUGAAGUUCUGGCGCAUGGGGUCAGAGUAGAAGACUUCUGUCCGUGAUGUAGUGACAAAAAGACAUGCUGUCAUUGCUAUCCUCUGCAUUUCAUCCACAGUUAUCACAGCACAUUGCUUGCAUGCUCCAACAUGAUCCCUUGUGGCAGAGACAGCCCUUAAACACACUUUUUCUAACACAUACUUAGUAUCUUGUGAAUAAACUAAUUCCUCUAGAUCUGAAACAGCAAUGUGGGGACAAUAGGAGGAAAUCUCCUAUAUGUAAUUAUUCCUAAAUAGAGCAAGCACCAAAAAGCAUGUGCCCCUUUGUGCCAGUGCAGUGCACAGUAUCAGAAAACCACACAAAUUGCAACCAUUUGCAGGUAGUUUGCCUUCUCUGCCCAGGAUGCUAUGUGGUUUUUCUAUCACCCACCCUUUUCCAGGAUCAUGGGGUACAUACACUUUUUCCACCCUGCUCCCCCUCAGAGCCUGACCCCAGCCCCACUCCCUGUGGCUUGCCCUGCCCUGGUGUUACCUGCAUUGCCGGGGAUCCCCUGCAGGAUGCUGGCCAAGCUGGGAGAGGCACGACGCUUCCCCCUGUGCCGCUUCAGCAUGGAGAUGUACUUGUUCUUCACGUGCUCGGGAAUGACCAGGUCCAUCAGGUCCCUCUUAUGAAGCUUAGGGACUUCAGAGAGCCCCAGCUGCUUCAGCAUCACUUCCUUGAACCCUUCCUGGGUGAAGGCAUAGGCCAUGACAACCAGAGAGAGCACAUAGAGCAUCCGGGUGAAGCUUGCCUCCAUCCUGCCUUUUUGGUGGCUCGCAGGGAGGAACGGGGAUGUCAGCGGGGCUGCGAUGCACUCGUUGGCUGUGGAGUGGGACAGAGGUUUUAUAGCCAGCCUCAUCCCACUGGCACAACAAAUUCCACAAGUGGGGAAGAAGCAGGGGACUUAAAAGGCUCACCCCCGCCUCGAUAGACACAUGCCAGUUUAACACCUCCGCACACCACCAGGCUGACAUGGGGGGCUUAGGGGAGCUUCCAGAUUCCUGCACCAGGAAGACAUUUCCCUGCUCUUUUAACUCCCUGUAAACUUCUGCCUAAAAAUCCCCCGAGUGAGCAGCAUCACACAUCGAUGGAGUUGCUGCCUGAAGUGGCCAGUAUCUGUCAGGAGAAUAAAGCUCCAGCAGAACAUCUGCCCUUAUGGUGGGCAUUACAAAAUAGCUUAAAAUAUCGGGGGGGAGGGCAGAUCCCACUAUGAUCUCUGAAUAGAUGAUCAUAGCAUUGAAUGAGGUGGUUGGAUGGGUUAUGGCCUUUUACAUUGCCUAUAGAUCACAGGGAGGUAAGCAGAAGCAGCACAGUCCUGGUAUUUCAGAUGUGGGCUGAAUAAUGCCUGUGCUUAAGAGCAGAUGGCUUUAUUUUCAGGCAGAUGAUCUCUCAGUGAACACAAGAAACCACUCUGCUUCUCCACAACCCCAACAAUAAUUGUUGGUGUUCUGAACAGUAUCAAAAACCAAAAGAAAGCUUGCUCUGGAGAGUAAAGGUGAAGGGAGCCUGGGUGCAGGAGGCUGCUGUUUGCCUUGAGGUAAUCUUAAAACCUGGAGCUCACAUCCUUGACUUCCUUGGCCUUUGCUAGCAUGUUUUUAAAACUGAGAAAAGGAGAAGAUAAUUGAAAAAAUAAAACUUGAACAGUGCCAUUCUUGAGGAACUCAGCAUUUGAGACAGAUUCUCAUCCUUCUCCAGCAGGAACAAGCAUGGGACGUCUGGAUCAUAAGUACAAAAUACUGUCAUUAUCAACACAGAUCUUUGGACUUCUUCUGUCUCUGUAAAUGAGGAAGAAGCAGUUCAUUUUCACCCAGCGUAUGGGCUGAGUGCUGUGUCCUCAGGAAAGCGCGGCUGCAGGACCCAAAGUACUGAGCUCUUACAAAAGCCCCGGGUGCAGUUCAUCUCCCACUGGAGGCAGUAUGAGCUGAGGCAGAUUUCCUGGGCAAGGAAGAGGGCAAAGCUUCCGAGAGCCUGACCGAGCAUCUCUGGUACUGCCUGUUCUGCCUGUUGAGCCUUUUGUAGAAAAUGUCCUGUAAACCUUUAUCUUUACUCAAUUUUUUCUUUACUCAAACGAUUGGUCCUGCUGUAUAGUGAGGGCUGCUCAAAUAAAUCUGCGUGUAAGAGAUGAUAACGCCUGAGAACACCACAGCACCCGGCACUUCUGGGUACAAGAUGUGACGUCUCCUGCGGCUGAUAUCUGAACUACCAGGAUGAAAUCUCUUCCUUGUCUUAUGUGUAUUGGAUGGUGAUUUAUGGACUUCACACAUAAAAAAAAUGAUUGAGCAAAUGCGGUGGAAGUUCAGCUAAGAAGAAAACAGAGGAUGUGGAUUGUAGGCUUUUCACAGGAGGGUGAUUAUCUGGUCCGAUUGGUGGAGUUGGCAUUCUCCCUUUGUCACACAAACAAGAAAAGGUCAGGAAUUUUAUAGUAGCUCUUUUUGGGUAAUGUGUAUUAGAGCCUCCAUGGUGCAUUCAGGGUGUCAAGCAGAGGAUUUAUGGGGGGCUGCAGGGCAUGAUGUCUGAGGAACUUACAGUUUUAAUGGAAGCCUGAAUGCAGUGAACAGAGAACCUCCAUAUUUAAGCUUUUAGGUAGUUUCAAACAGAUCUCUAAGAUACUUACUGGGCAUAUCUAUGCAAUGAUUUUUGGUAAAUAAAUCUAACGAGUUAAAAGAGAAAGUGCGAAAGGUUUAGCCUAAUGACGUGGCUAUUGCCCUGUGAAACAGGAAUGGUUCAAACACAUUUGCAGUGCAUCAGUGAGGAUCUGAUUUUCCAAGAACUGAAUUCUCAUGAACGUAAUUCUGCUAUAUUACAGUUGGGCCCAUACCAGAAUGGCCUUUGCUUGAAUGAUGUGAAAGGCCACAGUUUUUGUUCUCAGUUGUUCAGCAGACUUUCUGUAUAGAGACUGGAACAUAUCUCUGUCCUGACUUUGGUCUGCUUUGUUUGUUUUUUUUAAAACAAAAUCAGUGUCCUUUGGGUCUAGAAGUGUGGUUACAAAGUAAUGUUGAGAUACAGGUACGAACUUGCCAUGUUAAAGAAGAAUCCGAGCAAAGGUUCCAUUUCUGAGUCUUUUUCAGUCUCAAGUCCCCUCGUGCAUGCGUGGCUGUAGGACAGCAAUGCAUUCCCUGCCAGGGAGGCAGUUCUGGGAUUUGCUGUUGCCUUUAUGCAAGUGGAGAACGGCAGCAAAAGCCUCGCUCUCCUCCUUGAGGUGUCUGGGCAGCACUGGGUGGAAAUGGUUUGGUUCUGGUGGAAUGAUUGCACAGGGUCUGCUCAAUGACACUAGCAGGAUCUGCAGCUUCUUUUUUGAGGGUUUGCUUUCAGCCAGGUCAGCAAGUUGCUGUCAUGUUACAUCUUUUGGGUCAUGGUACAGCUCUUCCCUACAUUGGUAAAUAGCAGUUCCAGUUCUCAAAAAUGACAAUGCAAGAAAAUCUCGUGGUAAGCUCCUUUCUUCCUCAGAGGUGAGACCUUCUUCCCAAAAAACUGGAGGUGUACUACCACAAAAGCAAUGAACAGACCACAGGGCUGUUAUCUCAUUUCUUGGCCACUUUAGCUCCGGACACUGCCAGCCACCAGCCUUGUCUAGAAGUGCUCUGAUUUGCACAAUACUUGUUUUUUGAAGAUGCCUGAUGACUGCUGAAAGAUACUGGGAAGCUAUCUCCCCAGGUUGGUGGCUUUCAUUAUUCCUCUACCACUAAGGACUGCUGUUUUUCCAUUAGGGCAAGAACAGCUUGCUUAAAGAGCCAGAAUAACAGCACCCAGGCCCAUUUAGCUCAUUGGAAUUUGCAUAAACGCACCUCACAAUUCAUCCUGUUGUGCAAAAUCUGGAAUGGAAAAGUUUUAAAAGACAGUUCAGCCUGGGUAAAUGCAGUGUCCUGGUACCUGGGAACAAGCAACUCCAGGUACCAGGGCAUGUUGGGACCUCACAGCUGUAAUGCAGCUCUGCAGAAAAGGGCCCAGGAUUUCAAAUUGUUCUGGGCAGCAAGGCUAAAUUGGCCAUCUCCAAUGAAAAUGCCUUACAGGUCAUGUCCUGUUGGGCUCCCUCAUGCAAAUGCUGCUGGUGAAGCCCCAGGCAGCAAUGGCAAUGGCAUUUCCUUAUGCCAGGAGUGCAUUUACAACACAAAGUAUCCAAUAUAGUAAAAACUCCAUUUAAUCUGGGAGAGAGGUUGCGAACCUGCUCUGAUCUUAAGCUCAGGUACAUAAUUCCCAUUACUAUGAUGCUAUCCAACUCAGAUCCCACUGACUUGCAACACAUCUUCCUUAAGUAGGCGCCUGUAUUUACCCAUGGGCUUGUCCUGGUCAAACAGCCCUGACAAAGACAUCUGUUUGAAGAGGGAUGAAUAAAAUGUCCAAAGUCCCACCAUGUUCUUGGACAACUGAUGUCAGCUGGCUUGCUCACAGUGAAAAAGAGAAUAUCAGUCACUUUUUCCCCACUCAGAGAAAGAAUGCUUUAUUCCAGGGGCUGUACUUCAUUACCAGGAGAAGGUGUAAAGGCAGAAAGAUUAUGAACUACAUGUCAAAUAAAGCUGAAUAAUUCGUGCUGCUAACUUUGCUGGAAGAUGCUUUUCCUCUGCAGGCCAAACAUGGAGAUGAAAGGCCAAGAGGUGGGAUAUCUAAAUCUAACCUCUUCUGUUACGCAUGGUAAGCUGACAUGCAAAAUAGUAAUGUGUUGGUUUAGUGCAAAAAAAAGAAGGAGAAGAAGAAAAAGAAGAAAAAGAUAAGGAAGAAGAAAAAGAAAAAGAUAAGGAAGAAGAAAAAGAAAAAGAAAAAGAAAAAGAAAAAGAAAAAGAAAAAGAAAAAGAAAAAGAAAAAGAAAAAGAAAAAGAAAAAGAAAAAGAAAAAGAAAAAGAAAAAGAAAAAGAAAAAGAAAAAGAAAAGAAAAAGAAAAAGGAUGUUUCUUGCAUAGGAAAUCACACAGACACAAAACCCAAUGUGAGAUGAAAGACAAAAUUAGACCAUAGUUUGGACAGAGAGGACAAGAUAGAACAGAUAAAUACUUUAGACUUCACUUAUUUGAUACAUCUGAUAAAGUGGAGUAAUUGCCCAGAGAUUUCCACUAGACUUCACUGAAAUAUUUAACACUAGCAUGAACGGAGCCUUAGCAAAUAUGUUAGCAGAAGUUGUUUUCCAUCUGUAAUAUCUGCUGCUGUGGUGAUGCUGGGGCUAUUGCAUGUCAGCAGGUUUUACAGUAGAUGGAUUCUGUUUCAAAAUAAUCACUUGCACGUGGCCUUUUUCCUCGAUGCUAACAGCACUUUAGCUCUGUGAUGGAAAGGCUGAUGAAGUGGAAUUUAGAAUGUGUCCAGCAGUACCUCUGGAGCUGCUGUCUGGCCCUGGGUGAGCUGCUGGGCGUUUUGGGAGAGCCAAAAAAAACAAUUUGAAAAUAAUGGUAGAGAUCAGGUCAUAGCCCCUCAUCUUGAUGCUUAACUUUCACUCUGUUCUAACAGAAAGAGCCAGGCUUAGUUGGCCGCAAACUUUGCAUUGUACAGCACUGUUUCUUUCUCCUCAGAAAGUUCUUCCAUCUCUUCUGAGAGCAACCAUAAAGGCCUACCAAGUAUUCCCAGUGCAUUUUAAAAUAAUUUAUUUCUGUUAAAAGACUUCAAGCAGUUCAUAGUAAAUCAUUUUUAAAACCUAUCGAGCUCUUUACUCUUUAUGCUGAUUUCUUAUUUACACUGUUCAUUCCAUUCCCUUUCUGUCCAGAUUGUGGUCAGCUUUGAGAGUCCCAUAACAAGCAAUACUACUAUAAGCCCCUGAUUUUCUUUUGCCUUCAAACAGUGCUGCAAUGCUAAGAAAGGGGUGUGUGGGUCAGGUGUCUUUUUCAAGCAGUUACUACAAGGCUGUUUUCCACUUAAAUAUUUAUAUUAUCGUUAUAGUGUUUUUUAAACCAUUUUUGUAUGUUGUUUCUUUUUAAUGAAAAAGAUUUCAGUAGGAAAGGAUGAGAGAAAAUGCAGUUCUUUGUGUAUUUGACUCCAAAGCAGAGCACAAAGGAGUAUUUUUCUUGAUGGCAGAGGCUAAAUUAUGUAAUUUCCUGCCAUGUAGCCAUAUCUGUGCAAACAAAGGCUAUAAAGUCUUGGAUUUAACAUGGCUCUUGCAAAGAGCAAAAUAAAGUGGUGUGAUCUAA